CGAGAAAGGAAAACAUGCAUUGGGAAACCGUGUCAGAGGGCAGAGCCAGAUAAUGGGAGCACCAGAAAACAAAGGAAGCUGUGCUGUGUGGGAACCAAGGCCUCACUUCAGGUCACCGUGAUUUGGGAAGACUCCAGGGCGUUCCGUGGGCGAGGCAAGAUGGGAGUGAGUCAACUCUUCUCGUAGCCAGUGAGACCAGCUUAGGAGUCACCAUGAAACAUCCUCCUUGAAGAGCCUGGUUCUAGGAAGGCCUGCCUCUGGGCUUCCGUGGAGAGCCUGUAGCAGCUAAAUCAGUGCACUGACCGGGCAGCUGGCUUCACAAGAACAGUGUGAUCCUGGAACAGGCUGGGAACAGGCUCCCUCCAGAGCCAGCCCGAAGUCUGAAGCUCAGGAAGAACCAGGAGAAUAGGAGCAUCUUCUAGAGAUGCUGUCAGUGACAGCUAGUCCCCCUAAAUCCAAGUAGGACGAUUUGGUGACAAGAUAGGCCAAAGUAUAGAAAGCGAGUGACUUAGAAGUGUGGAAUGUCCCAGAACAAGCCAGAAACUCAUAGCGGAGUCUCCCUGAAGAUGUUUGAAAGCCAUUUACAGUGGUGCUACCCAGGCAGUCUGACCCACGUGGCAGAACUUCUUUUCCCACAGAGCCACCAGCUAUGUAGAGCAGCUGCAAUCCCCUCUGCUGAUAUCCUGAUUAAACUGUAAAGGUCGUGAGGCCAAACACCACAGCCUGAGUGAAGUAACUUAAAAGGAAACAAAUAAAUAAGUCCUUUCCAAACAUGAGCUCGGAGCACAGCCUUUAAGUGACUUCAGCCAUGACUCAGAGGAGAAGUGUGGACCUGGCCAAAGGAGGAAGAAAAACCUGAAAUCAUCCUGGAUGCAUGUUCUCCAACUGCUCGAGAGUUUUCGAUUACCUCAGUUUCCUGACAAGGCUUUGCUGAUGUCAGUAACUUUACAGUAACCAUCACAAGAUAAGAGAGAGGUUUGUGUAGGACAGAGGUAAAUUUGUGUCUGACAUGACUAAUAUA